CCCUCUGUCCCCCCCAGGUGUGUGACAGCAUCCUGAACAUCGGGCCCUGCGCCAACGCCGCCAUGGGGGAACCGGCCUUCCUGUCUGAGGAGUUCCAGAACAGCCCCGAGCCCGACCUGGAGAUCGUCCUGUGCUCAGGCUACGGCAAGAACGGGGCCCUCACCGUGCUGCAGGUACCCCAAAAACAUCCCUGGCACCCCAAAACCCCCCCUAAACCCACCCUGACACCCCAAAACCCCCCCUG